GAUGAACGCUGGCGGCGUGCCUAAUACAUGCAAGUCGAGCGAACAGAUGAGGAGCUUGCUCCUCUGACGUUAGCGGCGGACGGGUGAGUAACACGUGGAUAACCUACCUAUAAGACUGGGAUAACUUCGGGAAACCGGAGCUAAUACCGGAUAAUAUAUUGAACCGCAUGGUUCAAUAGUGAAAGACGGUUUUGCUGUCACUUAUAGAUGGAUCCGCGCCGCAUUAGCUAGUUGGUAAGGUAACGGCUUACCAAGGCAACGAUGCGUAGCCGACCUGAGAGGGUGAUCGGCCACACUGGAACUGAGACACGGUCCAGACUCCUACGGGAGGCAGCAGUAGGGAAUCUUCCGCAAUGGGCGAAAGCCUGACGGAGCAACGCCGCGUGAGUGAUGAAGGUCUUCGGAUCGUAAAACUCUGUUAUUAGGGAAGAACAAAUGUGUAAGUAACUAUGCACGUCUUGGCGGUACCUAAUCAGAAGGCCACGGCUAACUACGUG
rnacentral:rRNA from 1 species